ensembl:snRNA U6 U6 spliceosomal RNA
GUGCUCGCUUCGGCAGUGUAUAUACUAAAAUUGGAAUGAUACAGAGAAGGUUAGCGUGGCCCCUAUGUAAGGAUGACUCGCAAAUUCAUGAAGCGUUCCAUAUUUUU